rnacentral:tRNA from 1 species
UGUGUUGUGGCUCAGUGGUAGAGUGCUUGCCUAGCAUGUGUGAGGUCCUGAGUUCAAUCCUCAGCACCACAU